UGGAAGAGUGUCCGAGUGGCUUAAGGAGCACGCUUGGAAAGCGUGUGUUACGCGUAAGCGUACCGUGGGUUCGAAUCCCACUUCUUCCGU
rnacentral:tRNA from 1 species